CAGCCGCCGCGGUAAUACAGAGGGUGCAAGCGUUAAUCGGAAUUACUGGGCGUAAAGCGCGCGUAGGUGGUUUGUUAAGUUGGAUGUGAAAUCCCCGAGCUUAACCUGGGAACUGCAUCCGAUACUGGCAAGCUAGAGUACGGUAGAGGAUGGUAGAAUUUCCGGUGUAGCGGUGAAAUGCGUAGAUAUAUGAAGGAACACCAAUGGCGAAGGCAGCCACCUGGACUGAUACUGACACUGAGGUGCGAAAGCGUGGGGAGCAAACAGGAUUAGAUACCCCAGUAGUCCCUGUCUCUUAUAC
rnacentral:rRNA from 1 species